GGUGAACCUGCGGAAGGAUCAUUAGUGAAUAUAGGACGUCCAACUUAACUUGGAGUCCGAACUCUCACUUUCUAACCCUGUGCAUUUGUUUGGGAUAGUAACUCUCGCAAGAGGGCGAACUCCUAUUCACUUAUAAACACAAAGUCUAUGAAUGUAUUAAAUUUUAUAACAAAAUAAAACUUUCAACAACGGAUCUCUUGGCUCUCGCAUCGAUGAAGAACGCAGCGAAAUGCGAUAAGUAAUGUGAAUUGCAGAAUUCAGUGAAUCAUCGAAUCUUUGAACGCACCUUGCGCUCCAUGGUAUUCCGUGGAGCAUGCCUGUUUGAGUGUCAUGAAUACUUCAACCCUCCUCUUUCUUAAUGAUUGAAGAGGUGUUUGGUUUCUGAGCGCUGCUGGCCUUUAGGGUCUAGCUCGUUCGUAAUGCAUUAGCAUCCGCAAUCGAACUUCGGAUUGACUUGGCGUAAUAGACUAUUCGCUGAGGAAUUCUAGUCUUCGGACUAGAGCCGGGUUGGGUUAAAGGAAGCUUCUAAUCAGAAUGUCUACAUUUUAAGAUUAGAUCUCAAAUCAGGUAGGACUACCC
rnacentral:rRNA from 1 species